rnacentral:rRNA from 1 species
UACAGAGGUCCCGAGCGUUGUUCGGAUUCACUGGGCGUAAAGGGUGCGUAGGUGGUGAGGUAAGUCGGAUGUGAAAUCUCCGAGCUCAACUCGGAAAUGGCAUUGGAAACUACCUUGCUUGAGGGUUGGAGGGGGGACUGGAAUUCCUGGUGUAGCGGUGAAAUGCGCAGAUAUCAGGAGGAACACCGGUGGCGAAGGCGGGUCUCUGGGCCGAUACUGACGCUGAGGAGCGAAAGCGUGGGGAGCGAACAGG